rnacentral:rRNA from 1 species
GUGAGUAACACGUGGGCAAUCUGCCCUGCACUCUGGGACAAGCCCUGGAAACGGGGUCUAAUACCGGAUACUGAUCGCCUUGGGCAUCCUUGGUGAUCGAAAGCUCCGGCGGUGCAGGAUGAGCCCGCGGCCUAUCAGCUUGUUGGUGAGGUAAUGGCUCACCAAGGCGACGACGGGUAGCCGGCCUGAGAGGGCGACCGGCCACACUGGGACUGAGACACGGCCCAGACUCCUACGGGAGGCAGCAGUGGGGAAUAUUGCACAAUGGGCGAAAGCCUGAUGCAGCGACGCCGCGUGAGGGAUGACGGCCUUCGGGUUGUAAACCUCUUUCAGCAGGGAAGAAGCGAAAGUGACGGUACCUGCAGAAGAAGCGCCGGCUAACUACGUGCCAGCAGCCGCGGUAAUACGUAGGGCGCGAGCGUUGUCCGGAAUUAUUGGGCGUAAAGAGCUCGUAGGCGGCUUGUCGCGUCGGUUGUGAAAGCCCGGGGCUUAACCCCGGGUCUGCAGUCGAUACGGGCAGGCUAGAGUUCGGUAGGGGAGAUCGGAAUUCCUGGUGUAGCGGUGAAAUGCGCAGAUAUCAGGAGGAACAC